rnacentral:misc_RNA from 1 species
AGUGAGCGGGCGUGCACAACGAACCAAUUUGGUUGUCCGUCGCGUGCCAUUGUUUGAGGUACUGUGGUUGUUGCGUGUGCGCGCGUCGGCGCCUUUUUUUUGCGUGAAUUCGUUGCUUCUGUUUUUCACCCUUUCGCCUUCAUCACCCCUCCCCCUCCCACUCCCACUCCUCCAGUUUGCAUACCUUCUCCGCUCUCUUGAUCUCGGUCUCGCCCCAUCUUCCCGCGCUUCUUUUCUGCCGCCUUGCCUUGCUCAGCACUCCAUUCUCGGUCGCUGACUCUCCGAGAUGCCGUUUGGCCCCUCCGUGCGCAGCGACCUGGAGUGCACUGCGGUGCCGACUGCCGCUGAAGUUGGCGUGAACAGCGCAGGAGUUGUUGGUGGCGUCUCGACCUCGGCGGCUUCAUCGCCGUCGGCGGUACCAACUGGCAAUAGCGGCCGGUCGUGUGGCUCUCCACAUCAACCGUCGCGCGCGACGGUGCAGCGAACGGGCAGCAGUGAAGGCGGCCGCGAUGGGGCAACCUCCGCACCGCGUGGAUACAGCGCCGGCGCCUCCGCGACGCCAACUGCCGCUGACGCACCGCCCAAAUCACCCACGCCGCAGCCGAGCAGCCUGCCCUGCGGUCGUGCGCCUGUGUCGCGCGGCGCCUCGGAUGUAAAGGCGUCAGCCGUGGCGUUCCCAGUCCUCACUCGCGCCACCGCAGCACGCGCCUCCUCGACCCCGCACGAGAUUGGUGCCUCAGCCACCACCAGCGCAUCGUCUUCCAGCAGCGCCGUGGCACUGCCGCCGCUGCAGCCGCGACGAGCCAGCAGCUCCGCCGCGGAGUCCUCCAGAGGUGUAGGCGGAUCCUCCAACAAACCGAGUAGCAGGUGGGCAAGCCCGGAUAGGCCGAGCGGCACAUCAUCGCCUACAGGUACACGCGCUGCAGUCGCGCCGCUACCUUCGCUCUCUGUUAGCGCAGCAGGCCAGCACCCCGCUAUUGGAGCUGAUGCGGCCACCGUUUCUGAUACCACUGGCUCGCCCCGCGUGGAUGCGCGGAGUUUGAGCAGCGUGUCACCGUCCAAUGGGCAACGUGAGUCAUACUUUCGUGAGAACAACAUCCCCUCCUUAUUCAAUGAGAUGAGCGAGGCCCUCCUCGACGCCCAGCCGGAGGACCCGGUGUCGUUCAUGAAGGAGUGGCUGCAGAGACGACGAGAGGCCAUUGCGCAGUAGACAACAGAGAACUGGCUUGGGAAGUGAGGAAGGAGAGGAGGGACUGCGCGCGUGUCUCUGUAGAGUUGCAGCAUCCCAUGUGUGCUGUGAAGUGUUUUGACUGUACAAGACCAUCGCAUCACAGACCCCCACUCCACUCUCGCAUGCCUCGCGUCUGCCACUCGUGUGUUUAUCGCUCUCCGUGCUACCCCACAAGUCUCGCCUGCGUCAGGGCACACGGCAGCACACACCGUGGCGUUAUAAUGCUGUGUAACCUGCUCCCUUCUGUUUCUUGCUUUGUGUGUGGGUGUGCGAGUGCACCUCUUGGGCCACACAGCCGCUUGCUCUUGGCAGGCAUCGGUGCGCGCCCACCCCCUCCCGAACGUUGUGCGCUUCUCUUCUCCGAUGUCUUCCCACUUUGUUCGCGUGCCUACUGCCCACCGCGUUGAUGCCGUCCCCCCUCCUCUGCCAGCCUGGCCGGAGCCGCUCGUGCAAACCGAAUCCGAAGCAGGGGAAGGCUUCUAGCAGAGGAAAAGGUGAUGUCGCGGAGGUACGUGACGACUGUGAACACAAGCAGCGAGGAUCGCACACGCGCAGUUCCAAAAGCACACACGAAUCCCGGCAGGUACGCAUAGAGGCCGUCAUCGCAGAAUCGAAUCCGCACAUACACACACACAUCAAGCGAAUGAACAGCUCGCACGUCGGGGAAGGAAUGCGGCGCCGCAUGCGACAUGCGCCUCCUCUUUCUUUGUCCCUUUCUUUCUUCCUCUCCUGUGCUUUUUAGUUGCUUGCCCCCUCGCUUCAUUCCAUCCCUUCUGCUAGCCAUUCCCCUCUAUUCUAGUUUUGUUGUUGUUUAUUGCUGUCUGUUGCGAGUGAUUGCAUCCUACUCUUAGCUUACUCCACCCCUUUUUCAGUUCUCUCCCUCGCCGACCUUCCGACUCCUGCCCCCUCCCUCCCCCCCCCCAUACACAAGCAUACGUGCGGUCACACAGGGGCACAGUGGCUCCUGCGCGGGUGUGCACAACGUUUUCUCUCUUCACACUCUUCUAUGUAUGUGCAUAUGCAUCUCUCUCUGUGUGUGCUUCACAAAUUUGUUUCUUCAGUUUCGUGUUGGUCAGGUGGCGCUGUUUCACCGCCCCCUUCUAUCUCCUUCUUAUUUUCCUCAGCGGCGCGGAAUGUCCUUCUCGAGCUGCCCUCUGUUUUCACGUGUGCGUUGCAAGUGGGGGAGCUUGGUCUCGGCACCCCUGUGCUCAUCGUCUACGCAAUGUGGGGAAGAAAAGCACAAAAAAGAGGGACGAUCAUGGCAAGGGAAGCGCGAGGAGGAUGCAGCAUGUACAGACGAUGUUUAUAGUGUGCGGGUCCGCUAAUUUUAUUUUUCGGCGCAUUGCUUCUUCUCUUCCCAGGCGAGCGCACACAGUCGAGCUGUAAGCGAGCCGCAGCUGUGGGAGAGCCCCGGACGCAAACGCUUUCGAGCGUGUGCGUGUGCCGGUGUGGAGAAGUGCGGCCGGCGGCUCAUUGUUGCACCCUCAUGCCGCCCCGCCGCACGCCUCUCUCAUCCCUUUCACACACACACACACACACACACACACACACACACACACACACACACACAAACACACACUCACGCAAAGACAUCUAUAGAUAUGCGCUGGCUGGUACCGAAUAGGCGGGUGAGAUCGUCGUUGAAGUUCAGUUGAUUUGUUUGUAUCUUUGGUUGUUAAGACUACAGAAGGAGUGGGGUGGGGUGAGGGGAGGAGGCGCACAGAAAAGGCUGGAAAAAGGAGGCGUGAGGGGUCGUGUCGCCUUUUCUCGCUCUCUCCACCCUCUUUUCAUGCUGGGCUUGUUGCUGUUGUUUGUUCUUGCAUGAUGUCAACGUUGUGCUCCCGUGCGGAUGCAUUUGCUGUGGUGUGCCGCGCCUCUUUUUUUUACCCUCUCUUUUUCCUUUUGAGAGCUCUUCCGCGUCUGCGUACCGGGGGUCUCGGUGCUUGAGUGUGCCUCUCGCACACGUUGUGCACUGCAGAGGAGCAGAACGAAACGAAAACAACAUGAUCAACAGGGGAAAGACAACGCACCCCCAUUUCCUUCUCUCCUCCUGUUUCCUUCCUUUUUCGAAGGGUGUCUCGAGCUCUGCCCUUGACGUGCCUCUCUUGGCUUUCGUUCGUUCUUCGCUUUUCGCUCUUCCUCUCUCGCCGUGAUGAUGCCGGCCACCUCAGUGCGUCGUAUCAGGCCCCGGUAUACAGUCUUUGUGGGGAGGCCAACAUCCUGCAGCCUGGCCACGGGUACGGCGGCGGUCUCUUGGUGUCGGCGGGCUGGACUGGGCAGCCGCUGUGCCGAAUCGGCUUGCGGUCACGCACACGCUUGUACCAACCCUCUAUGCAUCUUGCCCACAAUUCAAAUAGUGACGCAUCCGCCUCUUGCCAAUGGCGUACGGGGUUCAGGUGUGGGUGGAGUGUGCCCCCUGCUGCCGCUGACUCGUCGCAACCUCUCACGUGUCGCGGCACAUGCGGGCAAGGCAUCCAGACAUGCCCACGGUAAUGCUGACGGAAGUAGAAGAUGCAGACCGAGAGCCCCCUCCCCCGCAGUCAACAGCGCCGUUCUGAGGCAGGCCCCACGGUCGCAAAAAUGCGAGCAUUGUGCGCACGCGCUGUCAAUCAUAGCUGGCGCGGUGCAUCGCAUCCGAACAAGGCAUCUGAAGGUCAGGGGAGCGCGAGUGAUAGUGGAGAAAAGCGCGAAGAUGCUCACGCUGAUCAGUCCCACAGCUCAUGUGUGCGGAGCAUGCGGCAUCUCCUGCAUCCGACCGGGUCGGCUGAGGAAGCACAGAUGCCGAAAGCAUGACGAGAGCACCCCCGAGUCGUGCCACUGAGCCCUAAAAACUUCAAUGUGGAGAGUCUCCACACCGUAUGACGGCAUGCCGCGGCUGGACGCGAGUGAGGGCGAAGCACGGCACGCAGGCAGGAUGUGCAGGGCCUCAGAGGGCCCUUGACCUGCGGUCGGCCGACUUCCUCCUUGAGUUCAUGCGGCAUGCCCCUAGACCACUCCUUACUACCCGCACGGCAGGUACCCACCGUUUCCGCCCUCGAGCAGGACCCUGGCUGAGACCCGGUUGCAUGAAGGCAUGCAGUGCACCCGAGUGCCCGUCUGGCGCCGACCGCCGAGCACGUAUGCUCAGAAGGGAUGAGGAAGGGCGAGAGGAGCCCGUUAGCCGCAGCGCACGAUUCGACGGCAGGACAGUUUGUCCUAGACGACCAGGACGUUAGCCGUUGGGCAGCAGCGGUCAGAUGAGCUAUGGCUGUGUGUAUGCAUAUACCUCGGGUGGCUUGUUCAUGGCUGGAUGACGGGGGUGGAAGAAAAAAACGUAAAACAAAAGGAACAUAGAUCUUCACUGUGGCGUACACGCAUCGUGACCCCUUUUUUACCUUCUCCGCCUUCGGUCUGUAUAUCUACCCGUGUACGCUUGCGCGUCUGCGUAGCUUUUCAAUUUUUUUUUGUUGUGUGUGUGUGUGUGCAUGUGCGCUGCGUUUGGCUUUGAGUGUUUUGGUAUUUUCUGUCUUCACGCGCCUUUCUUCUCCUCACGUUCCUUGUUCUCCCUCUUUCGCAGUCCGUAGUGGCGUGCUCGCCUCCGCCUCCGCCUCCGCCUCCGCCGCCUCCUACGCCCCUGUGACGUCUCCCAAGUUGUUCACGUGUAAGUGCGUGCUCUUGCGCGCCUUUGUUCAGCGUUCAUUUCUGGUCGUCUUCUGUUUCUGUGGCUCCCUCCUCCUCUUCUCCUCCGGCUUCGCUUCGUCCGCUUUUCCUUUUUCUUUUUUUUGUUUGCUGCCUAAUGCUCCUCCUACGCACGCACAAGCGCCUUCACGCAUAGUCUUUGUGCACACCCGUCUUGUCGUCGUGCACACCUGCGUGUCUUGUCGUUCUCGCGUGCUUGCGCUGUUGAUGUUUUUGUGGCUGUAUUUUUUUGUGUGUGUGUGUGCAUUUCCUCAUGCUAUAGCUGGCUUCAGUGUCUGUCUGUCUGUGCGUUCUUCGGCUGUCUUCACUCCUUUUGCCCAGUUGUUGCCUCGCUUGGCCCACCUCGUACCUUUUCCUCUCUUUCCCGCCCUCCCUCUGCUGCAGGCGUAGCGCUGAUGCCCGUGUAAUCAUGCGUGUGCGUGUGUAUUGAAGUGUCUAACUGUGCAAUAAUGCACUCGCUCGGGGCUUCCAAGCCCUCCGCUUCCCCCCGGACUUUGAUCACCCCCUCCUCGUUUGCGAGACUCUGCACGGCAUUUUCCCUCUGUCUGCCUGCUUUUUUUUGGCGCACUGUACCGCCCCGCCCGCCCUUUUUGGGCGCAAGCGCCGUUGGAUCGCUUCGCAAGGCUUCGAUUUAGGAGAGCAGCCCAUGCCAACGAUGCGACACGCACACGCACACACAAGCACACCAGCACCUUUUUUCUUUGUUUACAGAGUAGGGGGUGCUACGUGGACGAGCCCACCUCAGGUACGCGCGCGUCGCAUGCGCUCUUGCUGGCGCAUGCAAUGCCCUACCUCCCUCUCUCCCCAUCACAGAAUGAAAGAGAGGCUUUCGCGUGUCGGUGCCGCUGUCAACCCUCAUCUGUGGCCCUUCCUUCCCCUCCCUGUGUGUGUAUGUAAGUGGUACGCACACAAUGUCCACGCGGCGCUUGCCUCCGCAUCUCUGCUUCGCUUUUUUCCGGCACCUAGCACUGCUCGCUGUCCUCGCCCUCCUCGCAUCUCUCUCCGUAUUUUUCUUCGAAAAG